UACGGAGGGGGUUAGCGUUGUUCGGAAUGACUGGGCGUAAAGCGCGCGUAGGCGGAUCGUUAAGUCGGGGGUGAAAUCCCGGGGCUCAACCCCGGAAUGGCCUUCGAUACUGGCGGUCUUGAGUUCGAGAGAGGUGAGUGGAAUUCCGAGUGUAGAGGUGAAAUUCGUAGAUAUUCGGAGGAACACCAGUGGCGAAGGCGGCUCACUGGCUCGAUACUGACGCUGAGGUGCGAAAGCGUGGGGAGCAAACAGG
rnacentral:rRNA from 1 species